AAUUACCAUAUUGUUUAUUGUAUGUAUAAUUAAACAUUUGUUAUUUGUUUGAAACACACAGCACACAGUUAAUUACCAUAUUGUUUAUUGUAUGUAUAAUUAAACAUUUGUUAUUUGUUUGAAACACACAGCACACAGUUACUUACCAUAUUGUUUAUUGUAUGUGUAAUUAAACAUUUGUUAUUUGUUUUAAACACACAGCACACAGUUAAUUACCAUAUUGUUUAUUGUAUGUGUAAUUAAACAUUUGUUAUUUGUUUUAAACACACAGCACACAGUUACUUACCAUACUGUUUAUUGUAUGUGUAAUUAAACAUUUGUUAUUUGUUUGAAACCUUACUUUUCAUGAUCCAAUAACUGAAACUGGUUGGAAAUAAAUCUCAAAACCAGAGAUCUGAGAACUCACUGUUUUCAGCAAACCUGACUUCUCUGCUCUGUCCAAGUAAUGAAUUACAAAGGUCCUAUUACAAAAUUUCUGUAAAUUCAGUUCAACCCAUUUUUUUAAUGCAGCAUAAUAUGGCCAAGUUAUAGUUAAAUAGAACUGUUGUUUUGUAGAAUUAGUUUCUUGUAGAUUUUAAGUGGUGUUAAGCUUUUACAGCAUUUUAAUGAGAAUUAUUGAAGGUUAUUCAUUGUUUUCCUUAAGUAAACAUUUACAUGUAUCCUAGAAUUAUCAUUCAAAGCUUUGUUAAGUCUCGUUUGUUUUUACUUCAUAUCUUUAUUGUGCUUAGAAAAUUAAUAAUAUAUGCCUAAAGGUCUAAAUUAUUGCUCUUAAAUAUCUUAACUUUGAAACCCAAAAUCUUUGUUGUGACUGUGCAGCAGUAACAAUUAUUGACAGUACAGAAUAAAUAAGAUUGAGUGGUUUUAAUGAGGAUCAUUGAUUGCUUUCAGGACACAUUUGCAUGUAAUAUCAAAUGUUUUCUUUAUUAGAUUAGUAAUGGAGAGAAAGAAAACAAGAGUAUAAUAUUCCAGUGUUUUAUUAUUUGUAUCCACAGGUGAAACGUGUGUAUAAAAAGAUGUAAAUACUUAAGAAGACUGCUUUAAUGUAAACUUUGAAGUUAUAAGUCUUGCUGGUAGUAAGUUGUUAUAAAAACAGGUUAAAUAAUUUUUUUUUCCCCUCACUAUUCUAAUAAUUUAAGUUCAUUGAAAGUGUUUACAUUUAAAGUAUAUUUUUGUAGGUCCGACUGGUGAUAAAGUAUCGGCACUGUGAUGGAAAAUUAGUAAUUAAAGUUACUGAUGACCAUGUUUGUUUGCAGUUUCUUACAGAACAUACCCAGGAUGUAAAGAAGGUGGAAAAGCUAAGUAAUCAGUUGAUGAGACACAUGGCAUCCAAAGAAAAGUGACAUUGGUUUAAGAUAGAGAGAAAACUCAUUAUGUACUGUGAAUAAUAAAACAAAGUGACAAGGCAGACAUCACUUGUUAUGAGAAUGAAGAAAAGACUUUUGAUUGAAAAUUUAAUCAGCUUUUCAUCAUUUUUAUAUUGAAGCUAAAUGUGAAGAUUGAGAUUUAAAUAAAAAUGUUAUAUAUUUGGAAAUAUA